CCUACGGGCGGCUGCAGUGGGGGAUAUUGCACAAUGGGGGAAACCCUGAUGCAGCGAUGCCGCGUGGAGGAAGAAGGUUUUCGGAUUGUAAACUCCUGUCCUUGGGGACGAUAAUGACGGUACCCAAGGAGGAAGCACCGGCUAACUACGUGCCAGCAGCCGCGGUAAUACGUAGGGUGCAAGCGUUGUCCGGAAUUACUGGGUGUAAAGGGAGUGUAGGCGGGACUGCAAGUCAGGUGUGAAAACUAUGGGCUUAACCCAUAGACUGCACUUGAAACUGUGGUUCUUGAGUGAAGUAGAGGUUGGCGGAAUUCCUAGUGUAGCGGUGAAAUGCGUAGAUAUUAGGAAGAACACCAGUGGCGAAGGCGGCCGACUGGGCUUUUACUGACGCUGAGGCUCGAAAGCGUGGGUAGCAAACAGGCUUAGAUACCCCUGUAGUC
rnacentral:rRNA from 1 species